CACACACAGUCAGAGAACUCUUGAACUGCAUUAGUGCGCCAUCGCGCUCUGAACGGUAAGUACGUUAAGACGCGCUCGUCUGGAUUCCGCGCUAUUUGUCCUGUUUAAUCACUUUUGAUUAUCCAUAAACGCGUGGUUGCAACAAAAAGCUGUCUAAAGUUUGAAGGAUACUGGGAACAUCUGUCAGGCUGAGCCGGUUUUGUUAUUAUUCACUUCUCUUUUGUUUGGAGUGGGAUUCCAUUGAACUUGGUCCAUUGUUGUUGGAUGAGAAGCUCAUCUUGGCAUUGAGGCUCCUGGGAUCCAAUACUACGGAGCAAACAGUGAAUUGCACAGCUGUGAGAGGAUUGUUGGCUGGAUCUGAACCCAUGGGCCUUUGGCAGAGGAAGACGGCAGGAACGUGGAGUGGAAAGGAUGUGGAAAGUUAAUCAUUUGCUUGAUUAGUAGGGCACAUUCUGUCUCUUUAUACGCCGUGAUUACAGAGCUGCAACCUUCACCUUGAGGAAGAGUGACUGACAAAGUAAAAUGUGAGCUGUAACAUUUGCUUUGAGGAAAAGGUAAAGCUUUUAGAGGUAUAUUGUUAAACAUUAAGUCAGACUGGACGGUUAAAAGAUGAAAAGGUGUGUUUGUGUGUGGCAUAUGAGGCCUUGCUGGUUUAAACAUGGAUUUUAGUGUUUUCUGCCUUCUAGUGUGUAAUCCUUGUGGGUAGUUUCAGCAUGUUUGGUAGAGAAACUCAAAGCAUAAACACACACACACAGUAUAUCUGUUUACCCGCUGGCUGCUGAAUGCCGACUAAGUUAACGAAUGAUAUCCUACCAAGAGAAAACUUUCAGAAACUAGACUGGGAGGCUGAUAGUUUUACGCUGCAGUGUGGUUGAACUCAGGGUUGUUUGGUGUGUGUUUCUUUGUCCUUCAGCUUGUUGACGGAGUUAGAAUCUGUUAAUGGUCCUGUAAUGGUUUAACCAAAAAAUAAAAACACACAGUCAUCAUUGAAUUACUCCCACGUCACUUCAACCCUUUCUUUCUUCUGUUUGAACACAAAAUGAUAUCCUGGUCAUUCAUUUCAGUAUAAUGUGAAUAAAUGAAUAAGGACUGGUGCUUUCAAACUGAAAAAUGAUUUAUUUAUUAAUUUUCUUGUUUGAAGAACAGACUACAAUCUGAUCCUGACAUCCACCCUUUUCUUCUCUGAUUUGUAAACAAGAUUUGGAAUAUAAUGCACUAGUUUUGUCUGUACAUUUAGGACAGUUUUACGCUGCUUUGUGUGUCUUUUUUGAUAUUUAAAAGCUCCAGUUGACCUUCAUUGUGGUUGUGUGACAGAGCAACCAGAGCAGUGUUCAAAAUGUCUAUUUUUCAUACGGUAGCACUUAGCUAAAGCGUUAGUGUCUUUAGCCUGUGGUUACUGUGUUUGUAUCAACACAGGUGCUCAAGCGUUUCUUAUGUUGGCACAAACGGAUUACAUUUACAUUUAUCAUGGUUUUCUAGAAUUUUUACGGGUGUGAAAGGAGUUUCUAUUGGUUGAUUUGGUGGGUGCCUUCGUGUCUUCUACAUAUCACUGUGCAUUUCCAUCUGUUUGUUUUCCAGUUUAUAUCCGUCUCUAUAUGAGGCCUCAGGCCUGUAGAGGGGUUAACAAGAAAAACAGGUUGUAGCUGUAGUCAAUAAUAACAUCUGACAACUGUACGGCCUUUUUAUGCUUACACGAAGUUCCUAGUUUCAAAGAAAAUUUCCUGUGAAUGUGUGUUACCAUCGCUAUUUUGAGUAUUACUAUAUUUUCUACAUGAAGGGCGAUAUUUAGUUAAUUAUUUCAAUACAACUGCAUCUAAAUGAAGAUUCUUUCUUUAAAUUUUUAUGUAGAAGGCAUGCGGAAGUAUUGUCAUUGUCAUGUUAAAGCCUCAGGAGUUUAAUAGAUGAAAAUGUUUAUAGGUUCUUUGAACAAACACACCACACACACACACACACACACACACACACACACACACAGUACAGAAACAUAGUACUCCUUUUCUUUUAAGGACACUGCUCCAUUAUGAUAUAAUGGAAUACUAUGGUAUGUUUUCUUUAUGGUCAUUUUUUUUCCCCUUUUAGAACAGCCUCCAAAUAUGAUUUAUUUAGUUAUUUAUUUUUUUAUUUUUUUUAGAGUUUGCUUUUUGCUUGAAAUGAUUCAGCUGUUUUGUACUUGGAAGUAGAAAAACAGAUAUGGGAUUCUAGAGUUGAUGUAAUGCAUUUAAAGAACAAGGUGUUUAUAUAUACAACAAACAAAAAUAGGACAUGUGAAAAGGACUGUGUUUACUGCAAUAGGACACUAACCAACCAUCAACUGGCAUGCAGUUAAAAACAUUUAGAUAUUUUACAUCUUCAUGCUGAGAAAAUAUAUCACAAUGUAAUUAUUUUCUGGCAGAUAACAGCAGCACUCAGAAUGAAUGAAUGAGGAAUCUCACACUCUGGUGUGGAUCUCCUGCAGUGGAUUAUGAGGAUGAGUCUACUCCCACUUAAGUUAAUAAUCCAAAUGCUUAACAGCAGUCAAAUCGGCUGUAUUGAUUGCUUAUAGCUGGUUUAAAUGGUGUUAAGUAUUUAAUAAAGGACAUAUUGUGCCAGAGUGUUUUACAAAUGACACCAGUGACGUGUUCUAGAGCCGAGACUCAUAAAGGGGUGUUGUUAAGCCUUAAAGAGAUUAUCUAAUGUGUUGUCCGGACAUUAAUC
ensembl:lncRNA